rnacentral:rRNA from 1 species
GCAUCGAUGAAGAACGCAGCGAAAUGCGAUAACUAAUGUGAAUUGCAGAAUUCAGUGAAUCAUCGAGUCUUUGAACGCACAUUGCGCCCUCUGGUAUUCCGGAGGGCAUGCCUGUCCGAGCGUCAUUCUGCCCUCAAGCCCGGCUUGUGUGUUGGGCCCCGUCCCCCCCGCCGGGGGGACGGGCCCGAAAGGCAGCGGCGGCACCGCGUCCGGUCCUCGAGCGUAUGGGGCUUCGUCACCCGCUCUAGUAGGCCCGGCCGGCGCCAGCCGACCCCCAACCUUUAAUUAUCUCAGGUUGACCUCGGAUCAGGUAGGGAUACCCGCUGAACUUAAGCAUAUCAAUAAGCGGAGGA